rnacentral:rRNA from 1 species
AUUGAACGCUGGCGGCAGGCCUAACACAUGCAAGUCGAGCGGAUGAAGGGAGCUUGCUCCUGGAUUCAGCGGCGGACGGGUGAGUAAUGCCUAGGAAUCUGCCUGUUAGUGGGGGAUAACGUCCGGAAACGGGCGCUAAUACCGCAUACGUCCUGAGGGAGAAAGUGUGGGAUCUUCGGACCUCACGCUAUCAGAUGAUCCUAGGUCGGAUUAGCUAGUUGGUGGGGUAAAGGCCUACCAAGGCGACGAUCCGUAACUGGUCUGAGAGGAUGAUCAGUCACACUGGAACUGAGACACGGUCCAGACUCCUACGGGAGGCAGCAGUGGGGAAUAUUGGACAAUGGGCGAAAGCCUGAUCCAGCCAUGCCGCGUGUGUGAAGAAGGUCUUCGGAUUGUAAAGCACUUUAAGUUGGGAGGAAGGGCAGUAAGUUAAUACCUUGCUGUUUUGACGUUACCAACAGAAUAAGCACCGGCUAACUUCGUG